rnacentral:rRNA from 1 species
AUGGCGGUCAAGGCAGCUGUGACCGCCGGCGAUGGGUGUGUGCUGAAGCAUGGUCAAGAUCUGAAGGAGAAGAACGGGACCAAAAGGAAAGCAGAGGAGGCGCCGGAAGGCGACGAAUCUCCACUGAAGGUCUGCUCCAUCAGAAAGAUGACGAGGCUGCCGCAGGAGGAGGUGGAUUCCAUCCUCGCCGAGGAGAUGGACGACGACCGUCUCCCUCCCGAGUACAAGGCCCUGAAGCGCCACAACCCUGACCUGAUUCCUUCGCCGGAAGAGGAGAUGGACGAGGACGUGGUGAGCUUCUACGACGUCGUGCGCGAGUUCUACGAGAUUGGAGAGGAUUUCAGGGAGUUCCAGGCCUGGGUCCGCGCCGAGUACGCCAAGAACGGCUACGUCGAGGUGGAUGAUGAGUACCUGCGCCAUCAGAAGGAGAUGGAAGCAAUGAACGAAGCACGCAAGGAGGCACUCAAAGGCUUCGAUUUUUCAGGCUUGCUCGACUUGUAA